CUCUUUAUGAUUUUUGUACAUAAUUAAUUAUUUAACUCUAUGAUGGUAAAUUAACUUAAAAGAAAUUAAAAUUAGAACUAAGCAUAAAUUGAACUGAACCUAAAAUAAUAAUUGAACUUGAAAUAAAACAUAUAUAAAUAUCGAUACCCUUAUCCACCUGAACACCCCAAUUCCCCGAUCAACACUGCACCCGUCAUUAUCAAGCCACAGUAAAUCCUAACUGCCGUGCACGCUCCCACACACUGAGAGCGCACCCCAUAAAACCGGUUGUCAUCGCUGGAACCAGGAUCAGAAGGGAACAAAUUUGACCCGUGCCAGGACAACUGAGUGGAAAAGUGCGCCUUUCGUUAAGGGCCAGAAAAUCGCUGUUCGCGGGUGAGCAUAUCACCAAGAGUGCCCCAUCCGUUGUGCCCUGAAGAAGAAACCACCAGGGGAGAGUGAAGAAACGCUAGAAGAAGCCGCCGGUUGUGAUUAAGCUCGGCAGAUCAGUGAUAGUGACCAAGGAACCGUUUUUGAUUCGUCCGGUUGCUUCACCGCCCCCUCGCAAGAACAGAGCCGACUAGGGUGCCACGUUUUCGGCGGAACCGUGUGUGCUGCGCUUCGUCCGGUUAGUUGCCCCUCCGCCAAAUAAAAGCCAGCUGGUGUAUUACGUUUUCGACAAGCGGCUUUUGUGUGUAAAGCAAAAAGAACAAAGACGAGCCUCCCAGCUAUGACAGCGGACACUAGGUUCAUGUGUUCAGGACACCGCCAUCGCUUAACUCGGAAGUCAUCGUGCCAAGGACCGCCUAAAGGUUCCAUUCAUCUUCAGAUGGACUGGUAAUAUGUAAUACCCUCCCAUUUAUCCCUUUCCGCAUCCAUUCCUAAGAAUGUACCAAAAGUAUGAUAAUUAAGAAUAUAAUUAAAUAAUGUUAAGUUAAAUUA